GGGCAGGUGGUGAAAUGGCAUACACGCAGGGUUUAGGACCCUGUGCCGCAAGGCGUGAGGGUUCAAAUCCCUCCCUGCCCA
rfam:Parcubacteria bacterium GW2011_GWA2_45_30 TX07_C0007, whole genome shotgun sequence.